AGUGAACGCUGGCGGCAGGCCUAAUACAUGCAAGUCGAACGGCAGCACAGCAGAGCUUGCUCUGUGGGUGGCGAGUGGCGGACGGGUGAGGAAUACGUGGGAAUCUGCCCAGUCGUGGGGGAUAACGUAGGGAAACUUACGCUAAUACCGCAUGCGCCCUUCGGGGGAAAGCCCGGGGGACCUUCGGGGCCUGGCGCGAUUGGAUGAGCCCACGUCGGAUUAGCUAGUUGGCGGGGUAAAGGCCCACCAAGGCGACGAUCCGUAGCUGGUCUGAGAGGAUGAUCAGCCACACUGGAACUGAGACACGGUCCAGACUCCUACGGGAGGCAGCAGUAGGGAAUAUUGGACAAUGGGCGCAAGCCUGAUCCAGCCAUGCCGCGUGAGUGAAGAAGGCCCCUCGGGUUGUAAAGCUCUUUUGUCCCGGAAAGAAAGGGCGCCGGGUUAUUACCCUGGUGUCCUGACGGUACC
rnacentral:rRNA from 1 species